AGAAAAAGAAAAUGACACCCCCUCCUUCGUCGCCCUCAUCACCACCCCACCCCCCGGCCCCAUCCAUCCUCCCUUUCCACUCCCCUUUGCCAGCCUCCGCCUCGGUGCGGGGCCUCUCGCUCGCAGGAUUAGCGCAGUGGGAGGAGGCAGAGGUGAUCAGGUCCUGCCCGGCCUGGGACUUUUUGUCUUGAGGUGGGGAGGGGAGAAAUGGGAAGAGGUGGAGUAGCGGUUUUAGCCCGCUCUGCGGCUGCGAGGUUUAGAUCCGAGAUUAACCUCUCCCGCGAUAGGUGAAGCCCUACCGGAGCAGAAAGCUGUUCCACCUGCACCAAGAAUGCGCGCUGGAGACGGUUGCCCCGGAGGCCCUGGCCCGAGAGAAAACCAGUCCCCGCUGCCCGCGCCUCCCGGUAGCGCGCUCCCUGCGCCUCUCCCGCCGGACACUCAGCAGACGCCGGAGGCCGGGAGGCUAAGACUGGGCGCGUCGCAGGCCGGGACCGCGGCAGAGGCUGCUGUGCCGACCGAGGAGAGGGCUCUGCCGCCCCCACUUGCCCUGGGUGUCGAGAGCCCACUCCAGACGCGGCUCUUCUGAGGCUCAAUUCAAGCCACCCAGGCCUGAAUCCAGGGUGCUCUCUCUAAGUCGGUGUCCAACCCAGGGGCCUGUAAAUGUUGGAACCUAGGAUGUAGGAUGGGAGCGGUGAAGGGAUGGUCCUCUUGCCCAGCCCAGAUUAAGACUGGGGUUCAUCUGGAGGACUCUACUUACACCCUCCCGGUCCCCUCGCCCUCCCCCACACACAGCUGCCUCUCCCCAGGAUAUGCGCGGCACAGUGAAUUUAGUGGCUUUGAAAGGUAUAGUAUUUGUGGCAUCCUUAUAUGGAUAAUGCCCAAUGAUGCCUGCACCCUGUAACAGUUUAGGAAGGCCUGAAGUCGCACACUGGGUCCUGGCUGCUGUAACUGGAGACCCCCAGAAGAUCCCCUGCAAGCAGCCACCAGCCUGCUGUCAAGCCAAUAAUAAAAGCUCAGCACAAACAGAGAUGAAGAAACUCACAUUGAGAAGAGUUAAGAAACUUGCUCAAAUUCAUAAAAUCAAGAGGAGAGGUGGAUGUAAUUAAAACCAAGCCUUUGACAAAUCAAGGAAACUUUUCAUGUCGUCACUGCUACCUCAUCCGUGGCCACAAAAUCUCAGUCAAGAUCUAGGGUUGAUGCAAACUGGAGUCAUUCCCAGUAUCCACAACACUUCUCUUGUGUCUUCUGGGAAGCUAAGAUUUCAUCCCUUGAGUUUCAUUGCUGCCUGAAUCUAUUGCAUCUUACUUGAGAGCCUCAUUUAUUCCAUGCUACAAGAUCCAUGCAAGAUUCCAGGAUCACCAAGAUCACUCCAGGAAAUGAAGAGAUCAAGAGAGCUGCCAUGGACAAGUCUCUGCCUCUCUGCUUCAGCUUCUAGUUCCCUCAUAAUAUAGGACAAUUCCUUGUACAAAACGGGUGCUCCAUAAAUAUUUGUUGAAUGAACUUCUUUUCUAGAUGGUGACGUGAUGGCAACCUUAAAACCUCAUGCCAUUCUUCCUCAUCAUUCUCUGGGUUAAAGAAAGGCCUAAACUUUUCCAGCAAUUGACAGAGCCUUGGUGUGUCAUAUUGCCUCAUUGUGCCUCAGUUGUCCCAUCACUCCCACUUGGGAGAGGAUAUGAAUGAAUGGAUCUUAGUUUUAAAGAGCUGAAGGUGGAAUUCAGUUGCCUGAUUGCUAGCAUAGAUAGUACCUCUAUGUAUGUGCCAUUUCUUUUUUUUUUUUUUUUUGAUUGUUUAGUUCAUUUAUUUGUGUAACCAAUUUUGAUUAAAAGCUGAACACUGUGCUGGAAGCUGAGGCUUCACUGGUGUAGGGAUGCCAUUUCUGCCCCCUAAGAAUCACAAGGGCUAGAGCAUUGCAGGAGGUCCUUACAGCAACAAUUACCAUGAACUAAGCCUUUGCUUAGUGCAGGCACUGUGUUAAGAGGGAAGUUAGUAAUGUUCUUCCCAUUUUAGAAUUUUGUAACUAUAAAAAUAUAAUGCAGGCUUAAGAAAGAGCAGUUUAAAAUGACAUAAAUAAACCUUUGUUUUAGGGAAAGUUUGCAUAUGUUUGUGCUUCUGUGUUAUACUAAGAAUCCUGAGCAAUUCCCACUUCAGUAUAAAAUUCUAGUGGUGUGAGGGCAAAAGGUGAAAAAGAGUUUUAAAAAGGUAAAAAUUUAUACAUGCUAGAAAAAAAAUGAGAAUUGUUUUCAUUUUCAUGAUUCUUCAGAAAAUUUAUUUAUUAGAAAUAUUUUAACUACUUAAAUAAAAGAUUUUUUAAAGUAUUUUUUUCAUAAUCCCAA
rnacentral:lncRNA from 1 species